UUACUGAAUCUUUGCAUAAUGAGGUUGACGAAACUAAUCGAAAUGUCAAUGUUGUACUGUUAAGUAUGGAAUAGCACAGCUUACAAUUAGGGACCAUAUCAAAAUGUCCGCUGCAUUUGUACAGAUGUUGAUGAUCGGACACACGCAAGACGAAAUAAAACAAUAUUGGUUGACAUACGAUGAUCAGGUAGCUAAUCAAAGUAACAGCAAACAGGUGAUGCACACGUGGCGCUCUACAUAUAAACAUUACUCAAUGGACUACGAAGGAGUCUAUACAAUUAAUAACAAAUUGAUGUAGACAAAGAAGCCACAACUAUCAGGAAAGAGUGUCCGGACUGAAAUGGCAACUUACCAAUUAUUCAUAGAUAGCCACAAAUUGUGUCACUCAUCAAGGUUCUGGAUAUGAAAUUAAUUAAAAUAUAGUGUGAAUCUGAUUUUUAAAAUGUUUUCCUCUGCAAAAAUCUAAAAAAUAAUGUUAGCAAUAUGUAUUAAUUCUUGUAGGCUGUAUGUUUAUUAAUAUUGUAUUAUUACUGCUAAUGUUUAUCUUAUUAAUAAAGUAACCUGUUUGUUGUAAAGAAUAUAGACAUAUAAGAUAAUAAGAUUUAACAUUUUGAGGAUUAAAAUCAGGUAUAUUUAUUUUUGCCGGAUGUACAUGAUAUAGACCUACAGUAUAUAAAUAUAAAAUGUAUACAUAUAUCCCAACUUGAUUUCAAUGCUUGAAAAUAAAUAUCAAACAGAAUUGUG